GGGUUAACUUUAACAUUGUCAAACCUUAGAUACACCAAAUUGAAAAAACGAAACAAGCAAUGCCAAUUCUGAGCAUAAGGUAACAUUGAAAAAACGAAACAAGCAAUGCCAAUUCUGAACAAAGAAUGAAAAUUAGAAGAUGGAAAGCCUCACUUCUGCCAAAUUUAGUAUUGGAUUCGGUGGGCUUACGAUGAGGGACUGGACCAAAAGGACGAACUCGACGAGGUCUUCGAAUAGGACGUGGUCGACGUUUCCAUUUGCGACGGAGGAGGACUGAGUCAGGUGGUGGUGGUGGAAAGCCACCGAGCCUCCGAAGUGACCAUCUAAAUGAAGAAGACUGACUCAUGCAUGGUUGGUUAGAUCAACCAAAGGGAAAGGAAGAAAAUAUUUCAUGAUUAAGUGAAGGGAAUCAAUUGGGCCUGAGUCCGUUCCAAAUAAGCUGAGAUACUCACAAUCACACACUGGGUGGAAGCGAAAGAUGAAGAAGGGAAAUCUGGAGUGGUGGAGGUGACAGUCGAAUAGAUUGGGCCAUUGGUUUGGGAAAAAGUAUGCGGCUAGUGAUAAAAAUGAAAGAGCGGCUUGGGUUUCUAGAGUAAGAGUGGGGCUCAUAAACAAGUUCUGGGCUGAGGACCCAGGCCCAACAUUGCCUCAACAUAAAAAUAUCUUCUUUUUAAUAUAAAAACUAGCCUUCAUAGCGCGUGCGAAUUUUGUUUUAAAAAAAUACAUUUAACAUAAGCACACUAUCCUUCCUCUCUUACUAUGCGUGUGCCAAAUUUAGCUCAAGAGUGCAAUUUAAUUUCCGUGCUUUCAUAUGCAAAUAUUAUACUAUAGUGUAUAUGCAUUUAGCAAUUCAUUAGUAAAAAAUAUAAAACCGUAUACAAAAAUAUGCAUUGAUAUAUACAAAUAUUUACAAUUUUAAUAGCCGAAACGUAAUGUGAGGCCAGGGCAUCACACAUUUAAGUGUACUUAUUAUUGGAAUUGGUUAACUACCACAAAAUAAAAACAUACUUAUUUAAAAAGAAACUUCUAUACAUGGCUAUAUACAUAUUUGUUCA